CGCCUCCUGAGACUGGACCUUCGGGAGAACGAGAUCAAGACAGGCGGGCUCAUGGCACUGUCGUUGGCCCUCAAGGUGAACCACUCACUGCUGCGCCUGGACCUCGACCGUGAGCCCAAGAAGGAGGCGGUGAGCAGGGGACGGCCCUGCAGCCCUGGGGCGGGAGGGCGGGCGGAAGGCUGGGUGGUGGGGCCGGCCUGAGAGCCCUAGCCAGGCGCUCCCGCCACAGGUGAAGAGCUUCAUCGAGACGCAGAAGGCGCUGCUGGCCGAGAUCCAGAACGGCUGCAAGCGCAACUUGGUGCUGGCGCGGGAGAGGGAGGAGAAGGAGCAGCCGCCGCAGCUGUCGGCCUCCAUGCCUGAGACCACCGCCACCGAGCCCCAGCCCGACGACGAGCCCGCUGCUGGGGUGCAGAACGGGGCCCCCAGCCCCGCACCCAGCCCGGACUCAGACUCAGACUUGGACUCGGAUGGGGAGGAUGAGGAGGAAGAGGAAGGGGAGAGGGACGAGACCCCCUGUCCUGCCCUGGUGUCCCCCACGGACUCCCUGGACCCUGGGGACAGGAGUCCCCCAGGCAGCCCCUCCACACCCACUGAGCAGCGGAUUUCCGUGUCCAGCCCGGGCCGGGGCCACAAGGUGUUUGUGGUGACCCGGGUGGAGAGCCCACCCGAGAGGGCAGAGCCCCCUGCAUCACCCACCCCUCCCUCUCCCCCACCCCCUCCCUCCCCACCCGCCUCACCUUCCCUACCACCAGCUGGGGCCAUUGACACCCAGGACACAGGGUCCUCUGAGCCUCAGCCACCACCGGAGCCGCCUCAGUCAGGGCCACCACUACCCAACGGCCUGAAGCCCGAGUUCGCCCUGGCACUGCCCCCUGAGCCGCCCCCGGGGCCUGAGGUCAAGGGGGGCAGCUGCGGCCUGGAGCACGAACUGAGCUGCUCCAAGAACGAGAAGGAGCUCGAGGAGCUGCUUCUGGAAGCCAGUCAGGAAUCCGGGCAGGAGACACUGUGACACUUUAGUUCCCUUUUUCCGGUCGGUCUGCGAUGAGCUGAGGCCAGAGCCAUGAGAAUCUGCUCACCUUACCCCCAGCCUUCCUGAGGCCCAGGAUGCCAGGGGUGGGGGCCAUUCUGGGGCCCCCCUCCCCCCACAGCAACACUACAAGGGGUGCAGGAGCUACAGGGAGUGGCCCUCCCCGCGUGACUCAAGCACUUCUAUUUAUGAGCCCACCACCGGAAGACUCUGGGGGUGAAUGGGAGGAGGGGGAGCAGGAGGAGGAGGAGGUCGUCUCCCAAGGACAUCAGGCGCCUGUUCUGGAGGGGCCAGGCUUGCCCUGUGGAGGGCAGGCGUCCUGGGUGGUGGUGGGAUGGUCCCCUGUGGCCCUGGGCACAGGGCCAGGCAGGCAGCCUGGUGCCGGAGGGGCUGUGUGUGCUGGUGGUGGUUGAGAUGCGCAGAACAGCCCCAGACAGUGCAGGCCGGGCAGGGUGGGGGGAUGGGAGCAGAGGAUCAGAGCUUUCUUUUUCUCAAGUGCAAUAAAUCUAUCAGGGAGCUGGGGCGGGAGCAGCCGGCACUCCGGGACCCUGCUGUCCAGGCCACUGGAGGCUGCGCCCUGAGAGGCACUACAACCCUUUGGGGGCGGGUGGCACGGGUGUGGGUGAGGGUGGGCAGAGGGCUGGGGCUACUCCUGACGGUGCAACUCUGUUCACACCUUUUCUAAUAAACUGGGGCUGGGUUCA
rnacentral:sRNA from 1 species